AUGACCCGUGUAGUUCUGCCCGUUGAUAUCG
rnacentral:sRNA from 1 species